AAUGCAUACGUGGAACCCGGAGUUCAGCUUCGAGGACUGGAUUCUUCCAUCUUGUUUCUCAGGCAGGAUCCCCUUGUUGUUUCUACACCUGAGCUCUCCAGGCACUAGGCAUGCACGUGGUGUACGCACUACAUGUAGACAAAGUAUCCACGCACAGAAAGAAUUCUAAAACCAUGAAGGAAUUGGUGACGCCCUGAUCCUCCAGAAGGAAGAUGCUCUUCGGGCCUUGUGACUCUAGCGCCACAUUUGAACGCUCAUUUCUAGGAUUCUGAGACAAGAAAUUCAUCUGAUUGUUGAGCCCCCAGGUAUGUGGCAUUGCCAGCCACACUCAGAAACCAACCCACCAACCCAUGUACUGGGCUAACAGAUGACGUGCGCUAAACUGGACCAGUGGACACUGCAGCCGCGUGUGAACCCUGCCAAGACUCCGAGAACCAUCCAGCUGUGUCCAUCCCAGAUCCCUGACUCACACCAUGAUGGGAUAAAAGAAAUCUCAUCUGAAGUCUGUGUUGUUUUUUAUAGUAAUUAAAAUUACAGUUACCAUGUGCUGGGCUUGGUAUAAAAUCCUUUAUCAACACA